CACGUAGGGCGCAAGCGUUGUCCGGAAUUAUUGGGCGUAAAGGGCGCGUAGGCGGGUUGCCAAGUCUGUGGUGAAAUCCUCCGGCUUAACCGGAGAACUGCCGUGGAUACUGGCGACCUCGAGGGGGGUAGGGGCUUGCGGAACUGUGCGUGGAGCGGUGAAAUGCGUUGAUAUGCACAGGAACUCCGGUGGCGAAGGCGGCGAGCUGGACCCUUUCUGACGCUGAGGCGCGAAAGCCAGGGGAGCGAACGGG
rnacentral:rRNA from 1 species